rnacentral:rRNA from 1 species
UGCGAACUCCUACGGGAGGCAGCAGUGGGGAAUCUUCCGCAAUGGACGAAAGUCUGACGGAGCAACGCCGCGUGAGUGAUGACGGCCUUCGGGUUGUAAAGCUCUGUUAAUCGGGACGAAUGGUUCUUGUGCGAAUAGUGCGAGGAUUUGACGGUACCGGAAUAGAAAGCCACGGCUAACUACGUGCCAGCAGCCGCGGUAAUACGUAGGUGGCAAGCGUUGUCCGGAAUUAUUGGGCGUAAAGCGCGCGCAGGCGGAUUGGUCAGUCUGUCUUAAAAGUUCGGGGCUUAACCCCGUGAUGGGAUGGAAACUGCCAAUCUAGAGUAUCGGAGAGGAAAGUGGAAUUCCUAGUGUAGCGGUGAAAUGCGUAGAUAUUAGGAAGAACACCAGUGGCGAAGGCGACUUUCUGGACGAAAACUGACGCUGAGGCGCGAAAGCCAGGGGAGCGAACGGGAUUAGAUACCCUUGUAGUCCUAUC